UCCGAAUUGGUGUAGUGGCUAACAUUUGACGCUCUCAUGGAAGUACCGUCAAGCCCGGGGUUCGAUUCCCCGAUUCGGAG
rnacentral:tRNA from 1 species